rnacentral:tRNA from 2 species
GGGGAGGUGGGCCAACCUGGCUAUGCUUUCAGCUUUGGGAGCUGAAGAUCCGAGUUCAAAUCUCGGCCUCCCCA